CAGCCGCCGCGGUAAUACGUAGGGUGCAAGCGUUGUCCGGAAUCAUUGGGCGUAAAGCGCGCGUAGGUGGCCAUUUAAGUCCGCUGUGAAAGUCAAAGGCUCAACCUUUGAAAGCCGGUGGAUACUGUAUGGCUAGAGUGUGUCAGAGGGGGGUAGAAUUCCACGUGUAGCAGUGAAAUGCGUAGAUAUGUGGAGGAAUACCGAUGGCGAAGGCAGCCCCCUGGGAUAACACUGACGCUCAUGCCCGAAAGCGUGGGUAGCAAACAGGAUUAGAUACCCCGGUAGUCCCUGUCUCUUAUAC
rnacentral:rRNA from 1 species